CCUACGGGAGGCUGCAGUGAGGAAUAUUGGUCAAUGGGCGGAAGCCUGAACCAGCCAAGUAGCGUGCGGGAUGAAGGCCCUACGGGUCGUAAACCGCUUUUGCACGGGGAUAACACCCUCCACUUGUGGAGGUCUGCAGGUACCGUGCGAAUAAGGGCCGGCUAAUUCCGUGCCAGCAGCCGCGGUAAUACGGAAGGCCCGAGCGUUAUCCGGAUUCAUUGGGCUUAAAGGGAGCGUAGGCGGGCGUUCAAGUCAGCUGUAAAAUCUCGCGGCUCAACCGCGCCCCGCAGUUGAAACUGGACGCAUUGAGUUCACAACAGGCAGGCGGAAUUCGUGGUGUAGCGGUGAAAUGCAUAGAUAUCACGAGGAACCCCGAUUGCGAAGGCAGCCUGCCGGGGUGCGACUGACGCUGAGGCGCGAAGGUGCGGGUAUCAAACAGGAUUAGAUACCCUGGUAGUC
rnacentral:rRNA from 1 species